ACACGGACGUGCAGUCGCAGCGAAUUAUCGAAAAGCCCCGUUCUUUCGCCGUCUCUCUGCAAACACGAGAAAAUCCCAAUAACACCACUCGGAGAACGAGUAGGAAUAACUCGGUUGCGAAAUCCCACUUUGAUAUCUUCACGGAACUGGUACCCACGAAACAACACGCCUCUUACGAAAAAAGAAUUAACGUUCCCGUUUAAGAAACCGCUAAAAUCCGCAACUUCACGACAAGCGACUUGGUACAAGGCUGAUGAUUUCCUUGUUUACAUACUUUUCCCAUUUAAUUCAUCUUGGACAGCGACUCGUGUCGUCAACGAGGCCGUUCUUCGUCUCUAUAAUCUUACCGGCCGAUAACGAAUGACGGACCCGUGGUUACCGUAAAUUACCCGACUCGUGCAGAGCUCUGGCUACACCCCGGCCUCUCCAGUUGCUGUCGACGGAGAUGAUCCUGAGUUCCACUCCAUUUUCUCCGGUGUACCUUCCGGUGGCCGUGACUUGCUUGUCCAGGAAGU